AGCCUGAACUUUCUCAUCUAACACCUGUUCAAGUCGGAGGAUGCUGAUUAAUUCAUGAUGGAAAGCUCUUUUUGGACUAAAAGGCCCUCAGCAUUCCUGGCAAUUUCUACACUCCUGAAGCUUCAUCUGGAGACGUCUGUGGAUUCUAUAACUCAAAGACCCAGGCUGAUGGCUGGUGGAAUAGCUACCAUCUCAAACAUGGCGUGAUGCUGCAUCAGAGGGAAAAAUAAGCUCUUGCACUGGCAAUGAAAUGUCUACCCUGUAGUGACUUGUGCUUACUUCCACUCACAAAUGAUUGCCCAGAGCUACUUACCUGGCUCCAAUCUACCACUGGGUGUGUACGUGCAAUCUACUGUGUACCUAGAAGAUGAGAGGAACAAAUUAUUAAUGAUGACCAC
rnacentral:antisense_RNA from 1 species